rnacentral:lncRNA from 1 species
GGCUUCACCCACAGCAUAUGGAAGUUCCCUGGCUGGGGUCGAACCAGAGCUGUAGCCGCCAGCCUACACCACAGCCACGCCAGAUCCGAGCCGCAUCUUUGACCUACACCACAGCUCACAGCACGCUGGAUCCUUAACCAACAGAGUGAGGCCAGGGAUCAAACCUGCUUCCUCAUGGAUGCUCGUCAGAUUCGUUUCUACUGAGCCAUGAUGGGAACUCCACUCACUCUCUGAAUCUGGAAUUUCUUGUCCUAUAAACCUCAGAGAAAUUCCUAUAAACUUUACAGAACUGAUUUGAUUUUUAACUAUUAUAAUGCAUAUGAAAAGUACCUGAAAGUAUAAGCCUCUCAAAAUGUAAGGCACAACUGUUACAAAAUAAAACCACUGUUCACAAAGCACUCAAUUUUUCCAAGCUGAACUUAGUUUAGUUUAUUUUAUUCUGUGGCACAUAGAGGUUCCCAGGGUAGGGGUCGAAUUGGAGCCACAGCUGCCAGCCUAUGCCACAGGCACAGCAACGCCAGAUCCCAGCCACAUCCACGACCUAUGCCGCAGCUUGUGGCAACACUGGAUCCUUAACCCACUGAGCAAGGCCAGGGAUCGAACCCACAUCCUCAUGGAUAUGAGUCAGGUUCCUAAUCCACUGAGCCGCAACAGGAACUCCUUAACUCAGUUAAAAUAUGUGACGAGAGAUCUAAAGGGCUCUCCCCAUGAACUGAAAUGACUGUGGCAAGAUCCAUCCCUUUACUAAAGAGCAGGAAUCAAAUUCAUAGCUAACUUGGGCAGUCAGCUAAUACUGGUAAUGUAUCAAUACAAACGACGGAAACAGCCCCAGAGGCCUCGUUUCGUAUUUAACAAAAUGUUCGCGAGUAUCACUACUAUCUUAAGGUGUUCCCUACUUUGAAAGCGGGCAACCCAGUUUCCAAAAUUACCAUGAACAAAGCCAAGGGAGAAAGCAGUAUACUGCCUAAGAGGAAAACACACAGACAGACAGAGAUACUGCUGGGGCCAAGGAAUAAAGGGUGUCCUCAAGAAGAAGCAGGGAGGAGUUCCCGUCGUGGCGCAGUGGUUAACGAAUCCGACUAGGAACCAUGAGGUUGCGGGUUCAGUCCCUGCCCUUGCUCAGCAGGUUAACGAUCCGGCGUUGCCGUGAGCUGUGGUGUAGGUUGCAGACGCGGCUCGGAUCCCGCGUUGCUGUGGCUCUGGCAAGAAAAUAAUGUACUAAAAUAUAAUUUUAAAUUAUUCAAAAAUCAUUAUAUGCAAAAAUUGCAUUUCUUAAAAAGGGGGUUAUCUAUAGAUACUCCUUUUUGUGCAAAUAUACAAUGAUUUUUAGUUUCCAGAUAUUUUAUUCUUGGUUACAAAUAACCUCUUUACAAUCCAAUAAUGUGCAUCUUCCUUCUGCUCCUACUUGCCCUGCAGGGCCAGGUCGUACUCCCAAGACAGCUAACAAGGCCUGUUCUCCCUUUAGGAAAUCCCUCAGGAAAGGAAUCACCACGCGUGAUGCUAGGUCCUCACAUUUGCUCAUGUUCUCACUUAAUCUUCACAAUCACCUCUUCAGAGAUGAAAAAACUGAGUUCAGAGAAGACAAGUCACUAUCAGUUAGUCAAAGGAAGAGCCAGAAGUCACCUCAGGUGUGACUUCAGACCCAGACUCCUUACAUACACAAUUCGCCUCCUCUGAGAUGGUCUAAGCACAUCCUAGGCCAGACUGGAAAGAAAAAAAAAAAUGAAGUGACACUGUCCUUGAGGAGCCUGUCUUGUCAACACUGAGGCCCGACCAAGACACAUCAGAGCGUCCCUCGAGCUGGAGGAGGCGGGGCAGGCUCCAGAAACACGAGGGCUUUGGUAUCCAUCCCAGGCCACUGCCCUGACCCCAAAAGGCCUGCCUUGCUGGAAGAACUAAGAAAUCCAUCUUCUACCAGAACUCGAGGAGCCGGAUCUCGAGGCCUCCGUGCCCAGCUGUGUCCUCUUGGUUGGCGCGCUCUCUCCCUGGACUAGGUACCGACGGCUAUGAAACAAGCCCUCACCCUUGUCCAGCCAUCGCUGACCCUGCCUGGUUCCAUGUUCCAAACUUCACAGUGGUUCCGGCAGAAGGGCCACAUAAAAGCUUCUCCAGAAUAGCCAAUGAUGUCAUUCCCUUGCUAGCUGUGGAGAAGGCUUCUUUGUCUUGAACUCGUAAGUAAUCCACAGUUAUCAUGAAAUUCCAGACAAAUGGGUUUGAAUCUGCCUCUGCUGGGCUGCAACCAGCUCUCUAGAGUGACCAGACCUCCGGGACUUGUUCACUACUAAUCAGCUAAUGUUUGUAACUGUAAAGACAUAAUGACUAAAUACUACCAUCAUUACUAGACUACCAGUUUAAAUGGAAAUGAAGAGAGAGAGAGAGAAGAGAACGCACGUUAGUAAAUCAGCUUUGGGACGGUUCCUUGGCAAGAAGGACAGGGGCAAAGGACGCUUUAACUGAACUCAUUAAAGCACAUGGAAGGCGCGGUUGCUGCUGUGAGAACAUAACUCAAAGCAGAGAGAGGGAAUGGAAAUGAGUCAGUAUAGACAAAACCGAUGCUGUAGGAAAGGAAAGCCUGCAUGAUAACCCGAUGCUGGAAAAACGCACAGCUUCUAUAAGAAGCACUACACAGCAGCAAAACUAAAACAUCUAGAAUCUGAAAGCAAAACUGAAAAGUCUAGAAUAAGAACAAAAUCCAAAGCCAGAUUUUAAGUCAGCCUAAACUGACUGCAGAGCGCAGUGAUGAAAACAAGCACGUGGGUCCAAGAGGCUGCUGCUCUUCCUUCUCCCCGUCUGUAAAUGGGGGAGGGUCUCCCUAAGGCAGCCGCCCAAAGGCGGCCCCAGGGGCAGCCGGG